rnacentral:rRNA from 1 species
GUGUACGGCCACAUUGGGACUGAGAUACGGCCCAGACUCCUACGGGAGGCAGCAGUAGGGAAUUUUGCGCAAUGGACGAAAGUCUGACGCAGCAACGCCGCGUGAGUGAUGAAGGUCUUCGGAUUGUAAAGCUCUGUUGAGUGGGAAGAAAAGUUUCCGGAAUAAUACCCUGAAACGUGACGGUACCAUUCGAGGAAGCACCGGCUAACUACGUGCCAGCAGCCGCGGUAAUACGUAGGGUGCAAGCGUUGUUCGGAAUCACUGGGCGUAAAGGGAGAGUAGGCGGGAAAAUAAGUUAGAAGUUUAAUAUAUAGGCUUAACCUAUAUCCUGCUUCUAAUACUGUUUUUCUUGAGUAUUGGAGAGGGAGAUGGAAUUCCAGGUGUAGCGGUGGAAUGCGUAGAUAUCUGGAAGAACACCAGCUGCGAAGGCGGUCUCCUGGACAAAUACUGACGCUGAGGCUCGAAAGCUAGGGGAGCAAACAGGAUUAGAUACCCUGGUAGUCCUAGCCGUAAACGAUGGACACUAGAUGCUGGAGGAGUCAAUCCUUUCGGCGUCGUAGCUAACGUGUUAAGUGUCCCGCCUGGGGAGUACGCUCGCAAGGGUGAAACUCAAAGGAAUUGACGGGGGCCCGCACAAGCGGUGGAGCAUGUGCUUUAAUUCGAUGCAACGCGAAGAACCUUACCUGGGUUUGACAUGGGAGUGAAAGUUUCCAGAGAUGGGAGCCUUUCCGCAAGGAACACUCUACACAGGUGCUGCAUGGCUGACGUCAGCUCGUGUCGUGAGAUGUUGGGUUAAGUCCCGCAACGAGCGCAACCCUCGUCCUUAGUUGCCAUCAGGUCAAGCUGGGAACUCUAAGGAUACUGCCUGGUUUAACCAGGAGGAAGGUGAGGAUGACGUCAAGUCAUCAUGGCUCUUACGUCCAGGGCCAGACACGUGCUACAAUGGUCGGUACAGAGGGAUGCAAAAUCGCAAGGUGAAGCUAAUCCCAUAAAACCGAUCUCAGUUAGGAUUGGAGUCUGCAAUUCGACUCCAUGAAUGUGGAAUCGCUAGUAAUCGCGGAUCAGAACGCCGCGGUGAAUACGUUCCCGGGCCUUGUACACACCGCCCGUCAAGCCAUGAAAGAUGGGAGUACCCAAAGUCGUUUAUUCAACCGCAAGGGGAAGAACGCCUAAGGUAAGACCAUUGAUUGGGGCUAAGUCGUAACAAGGUA